UGGACUGGCGUGGCUGGCGCUUGCCGCGUCGCCCGCUGCAGCCGGUCGACCUGCCGGCCGCGGCGAUCGUCGGUGACCUCGACGCGGUCCGCC
rnacentral:tRNA from 1 species